AUGAUUGUCAUCUUCAAUUUGAGGGACUCUCACCUAAAGUCCUUUAACUGUUCCAUAUCAGGAAAAAGUUCAUGAGCUGAAACAUGCGAUUGGAGAAAAAGGAAAAGCAUUAGGAAAAUGCCUGCACGGGGAAAAAAGUUUUGGACUCUGAAAAGGGAGGUGUGACAAAAACAUUUUGACAUUUGUUGAUUUCCACUAAAAACAAUAUCCACAAGAAAGAGGACAUAGUUUUAUGUUGAUUCACAACUUUAAUUCAAGAAUGUACAGUUGGUUUUAUUAUAAAACAUGUCAGUGACACAUACAAAACAACCAUAUUCGUGAAAUGUACUCUGUCUUUGAUAUGUAUGUAAUUUGCAGGAUAGGAUGUGGGCAACAUAUACUGCCAAGAAUCUUGAUGAUUUUGAUCUUAUGUUUGUAAAAAGAAAUGUUUUGUAUUGUAAUAAACAAAGUUAAAGUCA